AUGCUCCCUUGGGCAGCACAUAUACUAAAAUUGGAAGGAUACAGAGAAGAUUAGCACAGCCCUGUGCAAGGAUGACACGCAAAUUUGUGAAGUGUUCCAUAUAAAA
ensembl:snRNA U6 U6 spliceosomal RNA